GCACCCAUCUAGCCCAGUGGUAGAGCAUCUGCCUUGCAUGCAGAAGGUCACAUAUUCAAUCUCUGGCAUCUCCA